rnacentral:lncRNA from 1 species
AAAACCAAGAAACCAACAAAAACCAUAACUUGUUCUUACCCAAAUAUGAGCCCAAUGGUUCACGGCGAGGCAGAUCUGGACGACGAUUUGCUUUGCGAGGGAGGCACGACGGUUGUGAGCGGAGAGGCACGACGGUUACAGGCGGAUGGGCGCGACGGUUUAGAUCUGAAGAAGAAAAGAGAGGGUGGCGGUUGGGUUCGGCGAGCGGCGGCGGUUUUGCUUCGCGAACGGAGAUGGAGACGGCAAUUCGGCGCGCGGGACGACUGCAACGCAAAUCUGGACUGGCAGCGGCACGGUCUUGCUUCGCGGCUGGGUAUGGUGAAAAAGAAAGAGAAACGGAAGAAGAGAAGUCUCGGGUGGCGGUUGCUGGGCUACGGCGGUUGCUGGGCUGCGGCGGAAGGAGAAAAUGGAAGGAAGAGAUCGGCGG